rnacentral:rRNA from 1 species
GACGAACGCUGGCGGCGUGCUUAACACAUGCAAGUCGAACGGAAAGGCCCGGCUUUUGUGGGGUGCUCGAUUGGCGAACGGGUGAGUAACACGUGAGUAACCUCCCCUUGACUUUGGGAUAACUUCAGGAAACUGGGGCUAAUACCGGAUAGGAUCUCCUGCUGCAUGGUGGGGGUUGGAAAGUUUCGGCGGUUGUGGAUGGAUUCGCUGCUUAUCAGCUUGUUUGUGGGGUAGGUGCGUACCAAGGCUUUGAGGGGUAGCCGGCCUGACAGGGUUACCGGCCACAUUGGGCCUGAGAUACGGCACAGACUCCUACGGUACGCAGUAGUGGGGAAUAUUGCACAAUGGGCGGAAGCCAGAUGCAGAAACGCCGCGUGCGGGAUGACGGCCUUCGGGUUGUAAACCGAUUUCGAAUGUAACGAAGCGUGAGUGACGGUAAUGGGUAAAGAAGCACCGGCUAACUACGUG